rnacentral:rRNA from 1 species
GACGUAGGGCGCGAGCGUUGUCCGGAAUUAUUGGGCGUAAAGAGCUCGUAGGCGGCCUGUCGCGUCGGCUGUGAAAACCCGGGGCUCAACCCCGGGCCUGCAGUCGAUACGGGCAGGCUAGAGUUCGGCAGGGGAGACUGGAAUUCCUGGUGUAGCGGUGAAAUGCGCAGAUAUCAGGAGGAACACCGGUGGCGAAGGCGGGUCUCUGGGCCGAUACUGACGCUGAUGCGCGAAAGCGUGGGGAGCAAACGGG